AUUUAAGGUUGACAUGGUCAAAGGAGAUGCUGAAAGGCAACGAUUGCAAAGGGAAGAGCUAGAACUAGAUUUUCAUGCUUUUAAACAACAAAUCAACCAAGUCAAAACUAGUUAUUAAGACAUAAAAAGAGCUUUGAAUGAAAAAGAGAAAAGUCUUCAAGAGUCCCUUCAGCGGGUUGAACUUCUUGAAAAAGAGAUUGCCAACAAAGAUAAAGUGAUUGUCCAACAUAAAGCUCACAUUUCCGAGCUUAAUCUGCAUGCUGAAGCUCAAGAUAGAGAAUACAAACAAACGGUUGAUGAUUUGUCAAGAAUGUUCAAACUAUUUUCCAAAAAUACCCCAUGGAUUGGAUCCUGUCUCUAGUAUGUUUAAACAGGUUUGUGAUUUAGGAGUUGGAUUCUAUUUUUUUAAGUAGAAUGUAGUUAUUUGUAUUUGUUGUCAUUUGUUUUUAUCUUUUUGACGCAAUGCAGCAUGUUGCUGCUGAAGGCACAACCUUCGUCAAACAGGCAAAAGAUGCUGCAAGUAAUGAGAAUGCAGAAAGAGAUUGGAGGUUGAUCCUGCUACAUGGCAAAUAAUGAUCUUUAGGGUCUGCUAGAAGGAUUGGAGAUUGUAGUUAAGCUUCUAUCUAAGACUUCACGCCAAGGACUUGAUGAAUUUAAGAUAUCAUAUUUUGGCAUGGCUAGAAGCUUUGGAGGAAACGAGACUCAAGCAAAAGUAAAGUCACAGAGAGUUGUUGGCACAUAGUAAGCUAGAUAAUGCAAUUGUAUAUAAAUGAGUUCAUUUAUUUAUAACAUUUACUCACUAUUGGAAUAAUUAUUUGU